ACUCUCAACUUUUAUCGCCUUUAUCUCUUUGCGAAAAGCCUCUACGUCAGUCCUAAAGAGCUCAAAAUUCUCAUUCAUAAAGCUAAUAGCAUCUCGAACACCCCCAAGCUCAGUAAAUAUUUUAGUGUUCGAAGAAGCGACCUUAGCAAUUUCACCCUUCACUUCAGUUGAAAACACAUCGAGUCUCCCCACUAGAUCAGCUAAAAAUUUAACGACCUCUUUAAUGCUGUUAGGUUGCUUCUCAGCUAGGGCCUCUGCAACAUUGCCUAUGCUACCAGAGUUCUUAUCAUUGUUUCAGGCACAUGAAAUAAAAUUUCCCAAAAUACUCUUGAGUACACAAAGUAAGAAGCACACAGCUAAAAAAUUAAGAGAAAUACUGGUCUGACUACAAUGCCCAAUAAAAACUCAGCAGCAGCAACAGCGACGGACUUAGUGAUGCCUACGACAUUUAACAUAAAGGUCACCCAACCUGCAAAGAGUGCAGACAGUAGGUUAGGAUGCGUCCUUUCGUCGUCGCCGCUGCUGCCUGAGUGAAGCCAGUUCCAAAAAGACCACGCCCCCAAGAAACAGACUUGAUAAGCUUGAAGCUGCAGAAGGCUCAGGUAGAUGGCGGUUUCGGCAGCGCUGUCCAGGUCCUGGUAAUGGUAAGGCUACAGCAGCACAAUUGAGCAAAUGGUUCGACGCUCAC